rnacentral:lncRNA from 1 species
UAGGAAGGAAAGGAGUUGUUGUUUUGUAAAGGAUUGAGGUUUGGAAGAUUAAUCGGACACGGUCAGCAGGGAGAGCACUUGUGUUUUUAUGAGAAUUAUGCCGAGAUAGGUAACAGAUGAGGAUGAAAUUUGGGCUUGACUGAAGUAAUGGGGGCUGUCUGUGAAGCCCUGUGGCAGUACAGCCCAGGGCUUCCAAGGCGAUCGGGCAGCGUCAGUCUUCAGCCGCUAAGCUGAGAAGAUCUGGGAAGGAGUCAGAGAGCCUUGGGCCAGAGUUCCAGGGGCUUUGGAAGUGGCUACCAGGUGAGUUGAACAGUCUGAUUUUCAGUGGGGUCCCGCACAGAUGGGACACGCCUUAGGAGGAAUCCCAGGCUGCGGGCAUUCCUUGGCCCGGUGGCCAGAUUUUUGGCACUUGUAGCAAGCUCCUGGGGGAGGAGAUUCUGGAGGAACGCCUGACCGCUGCGGUUCAGGUGUUUGGAAGUUCUUGUGUGCUGGAGAUGUGGCUGGGGUUUGUCUCACAGUGGAGGCAAGGAAUUGCAAAUUUUUUCUAUUAUUGUACACCUUGAAGGUGAGGUUAAUUAAGUCCUGUUGUGGGGUUUGAGGGCCAGAUUGUAAUUUUUGGAGUUUUAUUUAAUGUCGGGAGUAGAUUGGGUAACAAAAUGUAUAUUGAGAAUAAGACGGCCUUUUGACGUUUUAGGGUCUAGGGCUGUAAAGCAUCUCAGGGUUGCUGCCAAAUGAGCCAUGAACUGGGCUGGAUUUUUAUAUUUGAUGAAAAGGAGCCUAAACGCUAUCUGAUUUGGGAUAAAGGAAUUGAAAUUAAGAGAAGGGAGAGAUUGAAGUGUGGCGCCAAGAUUGAAAGGAGAAAGAGGUUGAGGGAUAGUGAGGGAAGUUGGAGAAGAGAAUAAAAAGAGGCCGCUUACCGGAUUUGAAAUUGGUGAGAUGUUUCUUGGGCUGGUCGGUCUGAGGACCUGAGGUCAUAAGUGGAUCUUUCUCAUGGAGCAAAGAACAAGAGGACAGGGGAUUGAUCUCCCAAGGGAGGUCCCCUGAUCCGAGUCAUAGCACCAAAUUUCAUGCAUGUCCGUGUGAAGAGACCACCAAACAGGCUUUGUGGGAGCAACAUGGCUGUUUAUUUCACCUGGGUGCAGGCGGGCUGAGUCCAAAAAGAGAGUCAGC